ensembl:ncRNA F20D1.19 ncRNA
CCAACACUGUAUUCGUGUUUUUUCUCACAGGUACCUUUCUACCUUCUUUUGCCAAUGUCACACACUGAUUUUAAUUACUUUUCGGGCCGGCGACAACACAUUGUAACGCACGGGUGCCCCCUCUUACAUACUCUGACCAUUCCAUUCGAGAAACUCUUUUCUUACGUGCUACUGCGUUUGCCUUGACCCCCGCGCACGCUUUUUACGCUAAUUUCGUAUCAAAAAACGAAG